CAGUACCCGCAGGAAGAGAAAACAACCGUGAUUCCGGGAGUAGUGGCGAGCGAAACCGGAUGAGGCCAAACCGUAUGCGUGUGAGACCCGGCAGGGGUUGCGCAUGCGGGGUUGUGGGAUCUCUCUUUCACAGUCUGCCGGCUGUGAGACGAGUCAGAAACCGUUGAUGUAGGCGAAGGACAUGCGAAAGGUCCGGCGUAGAGGGUAAGACCCCCGUAGUCGAAACAUCAGCGGCUCGUUUGAGAGACACCCAAGUAGCACGGGGCCCGAGAAAUCCCGUGUGAAUCUGGCGGGACCACCCGCUAAGCCUAAAUAUUCCCUGGUGACCGAUAGCGGAUAGUACCGUGAGGGAAUGGUGAAAAGUACCGCGGGAGCGGAGUGAAAUAGUACCUGAAACCGUGUGCCUACAAGCCGUGGGAGCGUCGGGCAAGCACUUGUGCUUGCCUCGUGACUGCGUGCCUUUUGAAGAAUGAGCCUGCGAGUUUGCGGUGUGUUGCGAGGUUAACCCGUGUGGGGAAGCCGUAGCGAAAGCGAGUCCGAACAGGGCGAUUCAGUAGCGCGCUCAAGACCCGAAGCGGAGUGAUCUAGCCAUGGGCAGGUUGAAGCGGAGGUAAGACUUCGUGGAGGACCGAACCCACCAGGGUUGAAAACCUGGGGGAUGACCUGUGGUUAGGGGUGAAAGGCCAAUCAAACUCCGUGAUAGCUGGUUCUCCCCGAAAUGCAUUUAGGUGCAGCGUCGUGUGUUUCUUGCCGGAGGUAGAGCACUGGAUAGGCGAUGGGCCCUACCGGGUUACUGACCUUAGCCAAACUCCGAAUGCCGGUAAGUGAGAGCACGGCAGUGAGACUGUGGGGGAUAAGCUCCAUGGUCGAGAGGGAAACAGCCCAGAGCAUCGACUAAGGCCCCUAAGCGUACGCUAAGUGGGAAAGGAUGUGGAGUCGCAGAGACAACCAGGAGGUUGGCUUAGAAGCAGCCACCCUUGAAAGAGUGCGUAAUAGCUCACUGGUCUAGUGAUUCCGCGCCGACAAUGUAGCGGGGCUCAAGCGUACCGCCGAAGUCGUGUCAUU
rnacentral:rRNA from 1 species